rnacentral:rRNA from 1 species
AUAUCAAUAAGCGGAGGAAAAGAAACCAACAGGGAUUGCCUCAGUAACGGCGAGUGAAGCGGCAACAGCUCAAAUUUGAAAUCUGGCCUCUCGGGGUCCGAGUUGUAAUUUGUAGAGGAUGCUUCGGGUAAGGCUGCGGCCUAAUUUGCUUGGAACAGCGAGUCAUAGAGGGUGAGAAUCCCGUCUAGGGCCGUGCGCCGCGCCCGUGUGAAGCUCCUUCGACGAGUCGAGUUGUUUGGGAAUGCAGCUCUAAAUGGGUGGUAAAUUUCAUCUAAAGCUAAAUAUUGGCCAGAGACCGAUAGCGCACAAGUAGAGUGAUCGAAAGAUGAAAAGCACUUUGAAAAGAGAGUUAAACAGUAUGUGAAAUUGUUGAAAGGGAAGCGCUUGCAACCAGACUUGCGAGCGACGGUUCCCCGGGUCCUCUGACCCGGUUACUCCGUCGUCUCCAGGCCAGCAUCGGUUUGGGUGGUCGGUGAAAGGCCCCGGGAAUGUAUCUACCUCCGGGUCGACUUAUAGCCCGGGGCGUAAUGCGGCCUACUCGGACCGAGGAACGCGCUUCGGCUCGGAUGCUGGCGUAAUGGUUGUAAGCGGCCCGUCUUGAAACACGGACCAAGGAGUCUAACAUCUAUGCGAGUGUUUGGGUGUCAAACCCCUACGCGUAAUGAAAGUGAACGGAGGUAAGAACCCCGUAGGGGGCGCAUUAUCGACCGAUCCUGAUGUCUUCGGAUGGAUUUGAGUAAGAGCAUAGCUGUUGGGACCCGAAAGAUGGUGAACUAUGCCUGAAUAGGGUGAAGCCAGAGGAAACUCUGGUGGAGGCUCGCAGCGGUUCUGACGUGCAAAUCGAUCGUCAAAUUUGGGCAUAGGGGCGAAAGACUAAUCGAACCAUCUGGUAGCUGGUUCCUGUCGAAGUUUCCCUCAGGAUAGCAGUAACGUAUUCAGUUUUAUGAGGUAAAGCGAAUGAUUAGAGGCCUUGGGGUUGAAACAACCUUAACCUAUUCUCAAACUUUAAAUAUGUAAGAAGUCCUUGUUACUUAGUUGAACGUGGACAUUUGAAUGUAUCGUUACUAGUGGGCCAUUUUUGGUAAGCAGAACUGGCGAUGCGGGAUGAACCGAACGUGAGGUUAAGGUGCCGGAAUGCACGCUCAUCAGACACCACAAAAGGUGUCAAUGCAUCCAGACAGCCGGACGGUGGCCAUGGAAGUCGGAAUCCGCUUAGGAGUGUGUAAAAACCUUGUUGCACACCAGCAAUCCCUCUCCCCCCCGGGGGGGGGGUUAAUCCAGCCGAAUACUACGGUUGAGAUGAUGGCUCUAUUUGACCGGGAAUCCGUCAGGAUGAUCGGUUGUAAGCCCGUUCUUCGGGCUUAUCUACAGACUAGAGAGAGCCGGCCGUGAGCCCAUGGGCCACGGUUAAGAUAUAGUCGAUCAGAGUCCCUCUCCGGGACCUUCUUAACGAGAACAACUCACCGGCCGAAUGCAUUGGCCCUGAAAAUGGAUGGCGCUUAAGCGUGCUACCUAUACCUCGCCGUUAGGGUUGAAAUGAUGCCCUAACGAGUAGGCAGGCGUGGAGGUCCGUGACGAAGCCUUGGGGGUGACCCCGGGUCGAACGGCCUCUAGUG